ensembl:lncRNA
AUAUGGUGAGAUCGUGCAUACUGUAUCAGUCUGUCUCGACCUGGGAAAAUAAUGCUUUUAGCAACUAUGACGGCUAACAGAGGUGGGCUCGGUCCUCUGUCCUUAUCCCCGCCAUGCUGUUGUCUCUCUAUCUCUCUCUCUCUCUCUCUCUCUCUCUCUCUCUCUCUCUCUCUCUCUCUCUCUCGCUCUCUCUCUCUUCUUCUCUCUCUCUCUCCUAUCUCUAGGCGCGUGUGUACUAUGGGGUUCUGUAGUAAAAUGUCCAGAGGGCAAGCAGUAAUCAUGGGGUGAGGCUAAUGUCAGAGCGGCAUCAAAGACCCUUAACUGGAUACGUACGUUAAACCCACUCUGAAAUCCAGGGCAUGUUGACUCCUGCGUCCCUCUCGUUCAGUUUUUCCACUCUGACUGUUGCCUGUAUUUGCAUAGCCAUGCGGAAAAGAAAGCUCAACGAAUGUGCUUACCCAUCCGAGAAGGAAGAACAAGCUCCAUGGAGUCCCCUAACCUGGAGUUUGAGUAUGGGGACACAGACAGCCUGACCACUGAACUCUCAGAGAUAUACAGUUACACGGAGGAGCCCGAGUUCACCCUCAACAGGGACUACUUUGAGGAGGAUUUCAGGAGCCAUGUGCGGGGAAGGAGGUGGAUUGAGCUGGGUCAGGAGCAGCAGAAGGCCUAUGUGAUGAGACUACUAGAUGCUCUGGAGGUCACUGACCGGGACAAGAGGCUGAAGGUGGCCCGGGCCAUCCUCUACCUGGCACAGGGGGUGUUUGACGAGUGUGACACGGACGCGGACGUGAUCCACUGGUCUCGCCACAACGUGUUCCUGCUGUAUGACAUGGGCAUCUUCACCGCUCUCCUGGAGCUGCUGAGCAUGGAGAUGGAUAACAACCAAGCCUGCAGCAGCGCAGUGAGGAAACCUGCUAUCUCUCUGGCGGACAGCACAGAACUCAGGGUCUUGCUAAGCAUCAUGUACCUGAUGGUGGAGACCAUCCGUCUGCAGACAGAGGAUGACAGACCAGAGUGGAGAACUGCCAGAGAGGCCUUCAAGACUGAACUGGGUUCUCCUCUGUACAACGGAGAGCCAUUCGCCCUGCUGCUCUUCACCAUGGUGACCAAGUUCUGCAGUAUGAACGCUCCACACUUUCCCAUGAAGAAGGUCCUGCUCCUGCUCUGGAAGACCAUCCUGUUCACCAUGGGGGGCUUUGAGGAGCUCCAGGAGAUGAAGGUUCGAGGCAGAGAGAGGCUGAGCCUGCCCCCCCUGCCUGAGGACAGCAUCAAGGUGGUCCGGAGCAUGAGGGCAGCCUCUCCUCCAGCCUCGGCAAUGGAGCUCAUCGAGCAGCAACAGCAGGCCAAGAGAGGACGCCGCAGCCGCAGGCCCCUGGUAAAGCAGGACAGCCUAGACACGUACAACGAGCGAGACCCCUUUAAGAACGACGAUGCACGAGACGAGGAGGAGGACGGCGAGGAAGCCGACAGUGGCAUCGAGGGCGAGGUGGACCCCCUGGACAGUGAUGUCAUCAUCCAGCCACCACCCCCACCGCCCCCGCUCAGACCCCCCACUGAGAGAGCAUCCCUCCCCAAGGGUCUGCCCUGGGCCCCCAAAGUCAGAGAGAAAGACAUCGAGCAGUUCUUGGAGACCAGCAGGAUCAAGUUCAUCGGCUUCACUCUGGGAAAUAUUUGCUGUCUAGACCUGUCAUGUUUCCGAGCUGAGAGGUUGAAAGCUAAAAACCCACGUUUUAUUUAUCAGAUUGCCCUUCUGAAGCUGCUGCUGGCUGCAGCACCUACCUCCAAGGCCAAGACUGACUCCAUCAAUAUACUGGCUGAUGUGCUGCCAGAGGAGAUGCCAAUCACGGUCCUCCAGAGCAUGAAGCUGGGUAUUGAUGUGAACAGACACAAGGAGAUCAUUGUCAAGGCCAUCUCUGCACUUCUGCUCCUGCUGCUCAAGCACCUGAAACUCAAUCACAUCUACCAAUUUGAGAUUGUCUCUCAACACCUGGUGUUCGCUAACUGCAUCCCACUCAUCCUCAAGUUCUUCAACCAGAACAUCCUGUCUUACAUCAGUGCCAAAAACAGUAUAUGUGUGCUGGACUUCCCUCACUGUGUGGUCCACGAGAUGCCUGAGCUCACGGCUGAGAGCUUGGAAGCUGGAGACCGUAAUCAGUUCUGCUGGCGUAAUCUCUUCUCCUGCAUCAACCUGCUGAGGAUCCUCAACAAGCUGACUAAGUGGAAACACUCCAGGACCAUGAUGCUGGUGGUUUUCAAGUCUGCUCCCAUCCUGAAGAGGGCGCUGAAGGUCAAACAGGCCAUGAUGCAGCUGUAUGUCCUCAAGCUGCUCAAGAUCCAGACCAAGUACCUGGGCCGCCAGUGGAGGAAGAGCAACAUGAAGACCAUGUCAGCCAUCUACCAGAAAGUACGACACAGGCUCAACGACGACUGGGCCUAUGGCAACGAUAUCGACGCGCGGCCGUGGGACUUCCAGGCGGAGGAGUGCGCCCUGAGGGAGAGCAUCGAGAAGUUCAACAGCCGUCGCUACGACAAGAACCAGAACGGCGAGUUCGCCCCGGUGGACAACUGCCUGCAAAGCGUUCUGGGCCAGCGUGUUGAGCUGCCGGAGGACUUCCACUACAGCUAUGAAAUGUGGCUGGAGAGAGAGGUGUUUUCACAGCCUAUCCAAUGGGAGGGUCUACUACAACAGGCCCAAUGAGCGGGGAGGACACGCAUACCAGGGACACAAGCCUACGACUACUGUGAUCUUCAUGUAAAUAUGUGGCGCAAAUAGAACAUCUGUUUUGUAAUCACCUGUAUCCAUGCAGAAAUUGUACAGUAAUGGUAUAGACAGUAAUAAUGAUGUCAUGGCAACUUGGCAGGAGCAGGCUCUUACAGUACAACUAUGUGGAAUACUGUGAUUAUUCUGUUAGCGGUUGGAUUAGUUGUCGUGACUAUGUCCACUAUAACUAUAACCGCCAGUACAUUUUUUUCUCACUCAAUUUGGUUCGCUUCUGUUUUUUGUGGAAUAAUGAAUUUUAUAUCCAUGGCAUGUCCUCUUUUUUUUUUAUCAUGAAGAUGCACAUUUGAAGUACUGGCACUGUUUAGUUUAUGUUGUAAUGUUUUACAUGUGUAUUUAUUCAUGAUCACAGCCAUUUAUGUUUCGGUAUGUAAAUCUCAUAGCUGCAGAUGAUAUUGUCGUUGAUAUUUCUAGAAAAAAAAUGCCUAUUUGUAAAGAAAGUACUGUGUAUUAACAGGCUAACGAUGAAGUACCUUACUGUGAUUGUUUUCAAUGAAAAUAGCAAAGAGGAAUUUCUCAAGCAAGAAUUUAGCCAGGACUGUCUGGAGUUGGUCUGGGUAGGGAGGGGGGAAAUGAGCUGUUAUUGGUAGACGGGUUUUGAACUAAUUUAUCCCACCUGUGGAUGUCACCAGGCAGACCAAAACUCCAUCCUACCAAAACAGGAAGAUACAGCUGUUACAUUUAAAGAGCAUUAUCAUAAUGUUCACAAUUUCACAGUAUUAUUCCAACCUCCGUGUGGAAAUAUAUAUAUAACACAGGAAAAUAACAUUUCCCCUUUCUAGAUGAAUAGUAAUUUGUGUAAUCACAAACAGAUAUUCCUGUAAGUCAUUGAUUAUCAACUAGAUUCAGCUGCGGGAUGAUUUUUUUAAAAGACUUCUUCAGCGGAUGGUCAGGGUGCCGAAACACAAUUACAAAUCAUUUGUAGACAUAAAAAAAAACCCAGAUAUAAUAUUUUACCAAGCUAAACGUGCUUACAUUUGUAUACGAUCAAAUCUCUCUAUUAUGCGUGGGAAUACUUGGCAAACCGAUUUCCAAAAUUAAAAUCACUUUGACCUGAUUUCCUGGUGUUUUUCAUGUCUAACAAUGAGGAAAAAAAUAACUUGGAGGGGCAAAUAAAAUCUCCCGCUGUCCAAAUUCGGCCCA